AUUGCUGCAAUGACAGUGAGAGAAUUAUGUAGACUGUUAAGUAUUUCCCAGUGCUUUACAGCGUGCAGGUGAUGUGACCCUCACAAUGUUGUAAUCAAAUAGAUGUGCUAGAUGGGAAGAGGAAGCACAGCUAUCCACUAGAAUGAUGCACACUGCAGGAUUGAAGCUUAAGCUGGAAAUCUCAAGAUCUCUCUUCUUAUAAGAAAACAUUCUUAAAACAUUUAAACUUUUAAAACAGCUGCUUCCAUGCAAAAUAGUUAUGGAAUAAGAUCACAUCUACCUGUUCCAGAACAUUUUCUAUCCUAGUCAUUUUUUCAUUUGAAGCAGAAGUUAUGAUUUUUUAAACAAAAUGUCAACGGAUCUCUUAAAAUACCUGAUGGAGCUACAGGAACUAGAAUAAUAGGACUCAAAGUAAAAAAAAAAUAAAAAGUUUCUGUGUGUGAGGAUUGUAAGAAGAUCUGAGGCAAUAAAUUUUAGUCUUUAUUGACUACUACAAUGCUGUGAUAAACAAUGUUUAUUUAUCAAAAGGGGGUUAUUCAGAAAAAGUAAGCCUUAGAAGUUACUGUGUUAGCAUGUAAAAAAAAAAACCAAACCAAAAAAUCGGCCACUUUGUCCAAGCCUAAGUUGGCAGAUCCAUGAACACUUACUAAUCAAAUUUAAUGCAAUUUUAAAUUUUUGUUCACUUCUUAUAGAACUUCCAGUAGUAAAAGUAAAUUCUGGUGUCCUGUUACUAACUCUACAGGUUGUACCAAAGGGGUUUUUUUUGUCCAGUUGUCAAACGUUGUUUCUGUGCUGUCUCUCCUGCUUGUGAUUUGGGAAUUGUUGUAUUGGUCAAAAAAAAAAAAAAUAAAGGGGGAAAAAAUGAAAUGAAAAGAAAAAUAAAUACAGAGAACCCA